rnacentral:rRNA from 1 species
GACGAACGCUGGCGGCGUGCUUAACACAUGCAAGUCGAGCGGUAAAGGCCCUUUCGGGGGUACACGAGCGGCGAACGGGUGAGUAACACGUGGGUGACCUGCCCUCAGCUCUGGGAUAAGCCCUGGGAAACCGGGUCUAAUACUGGAUAUGACUCCAUGACGCAUGUUGUGGGGUGAAAGCCUUGUGCGGCUGAGGAUGGGCCCGCGGCCUAUCAGCUUGUUGGUGGGGUGANGGCCUACCAAGGCGACGACGGGUAGCCGGCCUGAGAGGGCGACCGGCCACACUGGGACUGAGACACGGCCCAGACUCCUACGGGAGGCAGCAGUGGGGAAUCUUGCGCAAUGGGCGAAAGCCUGACGCAGCGACGCCGACGUGAGGGAUGACGGCCU